rnacentral:rRNA from 1 species
AUGGUGUCUGAUUUGGUUAGGUGCAUCGCCCGGCCCCAUCUUGGGAUGAUGUUUCAAGCCAUCAAGCUUCUAGAACCUGCUCAUGUUGACAUGUUAUGGCGUAUGUAUAACAUUGAUCAUGGUCUUAUUGUUCAAGAGGUAUGUAAUGGCUUCCGGAAGGUGCUCCUUUUCCCAUGUGUAUAUGUUGGAAAAUACGCUGAUGAUCACAUGCAAGGGCCCUUCAGAUAUAAUGCUAGCACUAAGUCUGUGGUGCGCAGCAAGUCCUACAGACUCUUGAACAGGCUGCCAGAAGAGGGAUGCGAGAAAAUGCCAGAAAAGGGAUGUUUCUGUAGAGCUGUGCCUUUCAGGAAGGACACCUCCCUUGGCAUGCUUCUGCUGGAUGGCCUGACCGAGUUUUUGGUCGGCGCCGAUAGCCGUGCCGCCUCCCUAUACCUCGCCAAGCCCCCACCCCGUUUGGCCAAUGUCGUGCUGCCGCUCACCGAUCUUCUCAAGUCGACCCAAGCCGGACGUAAGCUCGUGCGGCACCCCUCCUGGUGGCUCGGUCAGCAACCACACGCCCAUGUGCAACAUUUCGGUGAGUUGCCGGCAGGUCAGGCCUUGUUUCCAUCUCCUUUGACACGCUUCCUCCUCCGAGUGAUCCACCACACUUAUCACAUCAACCGCAGAGAAGAGAAGAUGCAUUUGACCGUAGCAUCCCUUGUGACAGGACAAGACAUGGCGACCAUGCAGCCCAGCAUGCAACAGUCGCACAUGCCCUUUGAGAAUCCGUCCAACUACCGCCUCCACCCCCAGCAUUCAGCACAUCACUCACCUUCAUUGGGUUUCUCUCCUUGUACUUCCCGGCCGCCACUCCAACUGCUGGCCCUAGUCCUCGUUGAGUCUGACAUGACGCUGCUUGUCCGUAGCCUAUGCGUGAGCAACACGGUGGGACCCAGUGCCAGGCGCCAGUCUAGCCACUUCACGCAUCAUCGCAUCAUGCGAAGAAGGAAACCUCAUCGACCUUUUGUGAGCAGGAUGCAUAGCGCGGAGCACCCUAGGGUUAUCACCAUGGACUUGGCUCCAUCACCAAGGAACACUCACAUCAUAUAUACUAAGUUCAUCACAUUCUCCCGCUUCAACAUCUUCUCCCCUUUUGAUAACAAGUUCUCACAUAUCUCUCUUUUGAUGAGAUUUGAGCCCAUCUCCUGCAGUUCCAGGAGUGGGGAGGCUAGUAGUGAGCAGCAACAAGAGGAGGAGGCUUGCAGUUCCAGUAGUUGGGAGGCUAGUAGUGAGCAGCAACAAGAGGAGGAGGCGCUCUCGUGUCAAGGCACUUCUAGUGUGUUGAUCCUUCAGCGACCACUUCGUCAUCGUCAUCCUCACGGACCUCUACACGGUGACGGAAGACCACACCAUCACUUAAUCGUGGCCCAUGAACGUGAGGUCACCGCCAACCACGCCUUUUUGCCCAAGUUGGAGGAGAUGUUAGCCGAGCUUGGCGACAUUGAUGAACACAACAACGACCCGAUGACGGGGAUGCCGCAGGGCACCCACAACAUUCUUCUCAAAAAGGCCCAUGACCUGUCAAUCUGCGAACAGACCGCAAGAACCCCGCGUACAGUCCGAAAGCAACACAGGACACAAUGUUUUAGCAGCCUCGGCGGCGCGAUUGCAAGAGGAUCGGCGAUGCGCGCGAGCAAGAAGAUGUUGAGCGCGGGCGUGGAGAAGCCCAAUAACAAAAGGGCCACGGCGGCCGAUCCGACCAGCCGAGGCGAUACCAACGCGAAGAAGACGAAGAGGGAUCCGUCGCCUGAUUGCGUACGCCCUCGUCUUUGCCAAGAUUGCACAAGACGAGAUCGACAAAGAGUCAGCUCCCCGCCCUGUGCAAAUUCCUACCAUCGCUUACUUCAAACCUCCCACCUUGUUUCACACCGACGAGCUCCUUUCCGUCCGUCAAUCUGGAAGAAAGGCCGUGCUCUCGGCUGCCAAAUUUCUUCUAGGGGUCUCAUCCUCUCUUGGUACGUUCUAAUCCUCUAUGGUGAGCCGCUAAGACGGUGCUCUGGCUUCUGGGUUGAUUGGGAUGAGGAGAGCAGAACCGGCCUUGUUCUGACAACCGCGCGGCUGAUUCGCACAAAGGAUGCUCCUGUCAGCGUCUGGUCAGGCGGUGAAGAGUAUGAAUUGUUACAGUAUGACAAUGGGGGUCCAGUUAUUGACUUGGAUGGAGAAGUUGUUGGAAUGGUCAACGACCCUGAGAGAUUUGAGUCUUUUAUACCUUCUUCCAUUUUGCUCAAUUGUUUGGAUUCAUGGAGGAAAUAUCGUUAUAAGAAGGGUUUUGCUUUGCAUGUCCUUGGCCAAGUUCUACGGCAUUUCGCCUGGCCCCAACUUGGAAUGACGUUUAAGGCCAUCGAACUUCUAGAACCUGCUCAUGCUGACAUGUUAUGGCAUAUGUUUAACAUUGAUGACGGUCUUGUUGUUCAAGAGUUGGAAAAUACGCUGAUGAGCACAUGCAAGGGACCUCCAGGUGCUGAAGUUCAUAUUUCUUCAUUUGGCAUGGAAUUUGCAGUGGUCCUUGAUGUUGAUUUUGGUACAUGGACAAUUCUGAUGUUAUGUCCUCAAGUUCUUUAUCCUACCACUUGCCCAUAA